UCAUGAUGAUGACACUUCGCAGAAUUCCGGCUGAAGUGAGCGUGAUUGGCAAGAGACUCAGGCUUUUCUUCUUCGAAUCUUUCCCUCUUUCCAGUGACCGUGAGACUGUUUCGAUGUCACUUAAGAAAGUAAAGAAAAUUUGCAGAAGGAGAUGACACUUUUCCGGUUUGAAGCGGCGGCUGCUUCUUAACCAAUAAUCAACUUUUGUGGCCCUGAGGAUGAUGAUGAAGAAGACGUUGACAAACCACACGAUAAUAAUUUGGCCAAAAUGAAACAACAGCUACUUCUAAAGAUGAAAUGCGGGGGUUGGCAACUGAAAAUUUGGGUGUACGAGGAUUCAGAAUCUCAAGGAUUCCGAAAGAUUCUAGAGAUUCUGAGAGAUUCUGAGAGAUUCUGCGAGAUUCUGCGAGAUUCUGAAUCAAGUUUCCCCCAAAAUUCCGCUAGGGGCGCCACUAGUCCUUGCCCCAGUUUCUCUACAGAAGUAUGCACUAUGUUACGUAGUGGGCGUAGCUCCGUUUCGGCAUGCUCUAUACAGCUUAUAGACAUGCAGAUCUUAUUAUCUUCAAGAUUUUUUACUGAUAGAAAAAGGUGCUACAAUAGGUUUUGUAGUUUCAAGUAGGGUGAAGUAAUCUGAUAGUUAGAAACUUGAUAGGUUUGAAUUAAAAGUCCAGAUUAUUAAUUUUAAAAUAGAAUAUAACGGGAAAAUUAACUGCAAGUGACUUUUGCUGGGAAUUAUUGGCAUAUUAUCAAUAAAGUUUUUUUUAACCAUAUAUUUGUCCCACCCUAUCCUCCAUUCAUCAGCAGACGAAAAAAUGUGUGCGCCUCCCAGCGGUGGGAAAAAGGAGGGAAAAUUAAAGAAGUUUUAGCGCAACCCAUAUUUUACAUUUUUCAGUAUUUCUAGUGCAUUUUUUUACAAUUUGAGCUUUUCAAAAACAAAAUUCACAAAAUAUCUGAAAUUUUAGACGGUUUUGGGGUAGUUUAAAGUAAAAAAAAGGGUAAACUUAGUGAGAUUCUGGAGAUUCUACGAGAUUCCAUGGGAUUCUACGGGAUUCUAUGGGAUUCUACGGGAUUCUGUGAGAUUCUGAAGAUUCUGCGAGAUUCUGAAGAUUCUAUGAGAUUCUGGGGAUUCUGGAGGGAUUCUAGCCAGGGUGUACGAGGAUUCUGAGGAGUUGCCAACCCCCGAUGAAAUGGUU